UAACGUAGGCAGCGAGCGUUGUUCGGAAUUACUGGGCGUAAAGCGUGCGUAGGCGGUUCGUUAAGUCUGUUGUGAAAGCCCCGGGCUCAACCUGGGAAUGGCAAUGGAUACUGGCGAAGCUAGAGUGUGUCAGAGGGAUGGUGGAAUUCCCGGUGUAAGCGGUGAAAUGCGUAGAGAUCGGGAGGAACAUCAGUGGCGAAAGGCCGGC
rnacentral:rRNA from 1 species